rnacentral:siRNA from 1 species
AAAAAAAAACAAUGGAUGCCAACUUU